UAUCGCUAACCAAAUGUUCUAAGGUAGAUUCUGAGAGAUUUUAAGAUUCAUAGUGCAUACCGGUUGAUUAGUGUUUUUUCCUCAUUAUUGAUCAUCCCUUUCAUCAGGAUGUAUUUACCUUCCCUGUUGCUUUUAACCAGGUCUAGUUUGACUUUGUCAAAUACGGUGACUGCAACUCCUGCCUUGGCAGGAGUUGUCCCAUCACUCGAGGGAACUGACAAAGGAUGGUCGGGGCAGAGUCUGAGGAGGCUUACUUCUCUUGUGGCCAAAGAAGAUACGUGAAGUCUAUGGAGGAUGACCCAAAGCAUCUGAUGGCAAGAAAAUCUGCUCAGAAAAAGGACAGACUGCAGAGGUGUCUGGCACAGGACACCAGAAAAACAGCACAUGCACUGUAAAGGCAACAACACGGCCUCAUAGGCAGGUCUAACACACUAUCCACAGAAAUGUACUUAUAUGAAAAACAAUUUAACUACAGAAGAAUAUCAUUGAGUCACUGACA